rnacentral:lncRNA from 1 species
AGCUGGAUUGGGAAGAGCUCCUGCUACGGUGGUAUGCAUGUCAUAUUGUCUCUGAAUUAUUUUUGCGUAUCUUUCUGUGGUAAUGUCUAAUGUGUCACGAUCCUUAUACCUGGUUCACUGCAUUUCCUCAAAUUCUCACACUUAGUAAUGAACUAUGAAGAUUACAUUCAACGAUGCCUAUUGGCUAAGAGAAACUCUUGUAGCCUACUAUUAAAUAAUCACACUUCCAUCAAUCCAUUUCAUGGGUGUGAUCCUUAGCUCCUUCAAUUAUGACAAGCCAAUUAUAUCUUCAAAAAAAAUUGAUUUUAUAAAAUAAAAAAACAAAUAGUAACCCUGACUAGUAGGCCUAACAGUAACGACGAAAUGAAAAUGUUCACUGGACCAACGUUGCUUAUCUAAAGAUGUUACAGAUUAGUAGUUUUUCAAAAAUUAGUUAAAUAACAGGUAAGUAGUUUUAAACAAUU